AGCAACGCCGCGUGGAGGAUGAAGGCUUUCGAGUCGUAAACUCCUGUCCUCGGGGACGAAGUCAGUGACGGUACCCGGGGAGGAAGCCCCGGCUAACUCCGUGCCAGCAGCCGCGGUAAUACGGGGGGGGCAAGCGUUGUUCGGAUUUACUGGGCGUAAAGGGCGCGUAGGCGGCCUGAGAAGUUUUGGGUGAAAGUCCUCGGCUCAACCGAGGAAGUGCCUGGAAAACCAUCGGGCUGGAGUGCUGGAGAGGCAAGCGGAAUUCCUGGUGUAGCGGUGAAAUGCGUAGAGAUCUGAAGGAAUACCGGUGGCGAAGGCGGCCCCCUGGACAAAGACUGACGCUCAGAUGCGAAAGCGUGGGGAGCAAACAGGAUUAGAUACCCUGGUAGUCCACGCCGUAAACGAUGUCUACUUGGAGGUUGGAACCUUGAGUUCUGGCUUUCGGAGCUAACGCAUUAAGUAGACCGCCUGGGGAGUACGGUCGCAAGAUUAAAACUCAAAUGAAUUGACGGGGGCCCGCACAAGCGGUGGAGCAUGUGGUUUAAUUCGAUGCAACGCGAAGAACCUUACCUACUCUUGACAUCCAGAGAACUUUCCAGAGAUGGAUUGGUGCCUUCGGGAACUCUGAGACAGGUGCUGCAUGGCUGUCGUCAGCUCGUGUUGUGAAAUGUUGGGUUAAGUCCCGCAACGAGCGCAACCCCUAUCCUUGUUUGCCGGCAC
rnacentral:rRNA from 1 species